AGAGCCGCAGGUCGGGGCUGCAGUAGAUCCCGGCAACCGCAGGCUCGCGGCGGGCGCUGGGCGCGGGAUCCGACUCUAGUCGUAAUGGAGGCGGGCGGCUUUCUGGACUCGCUCAUUUACGGAGCAUGCGUGGUCUUCACCCUUGGCAUGUUCUCCGCCGGCCUCUCGGACCUCAGGCACAUGCGAAUGACCCGGAGUGUGGACAACGUCCAGUUCCUGCCCUUUCUCACCACGGAAGUCAACGUGUUGUGCUCCUACAGACUGCAACCCUGCUAGGGGUCCUUCUCCUGGGUUAUGGCUACUUUUGGCUCCUGGUACCCAACCCUGAGGCCCGGCUUCAGCAGUUGGGCCUCUUCUGCAGUGUCUUCACCAUCAGCAUGUACCUCUCACCACUGGCUGACUUGGCUAAGGUGAUUCAAACUAAAUCAACCCAAUGUCUCUCCUACCCACUCACCAUUGCUACCCUUCUCACCUCUGCCUCCUGGUGCCUCUAUGGGUUUCGACUCAGAGAUCCCUAUAUCAUGGUAAGCACAACCAGGAUGGGGUGACAGGGUUGCAAGAUGGAAAACUGGCUCCUCUCCUCAUAGCAGUUCUUGUGAUUUCAGGUGUCCAACUUUCCAGGAAUCGUCACCAGCUUUAUCCGCUUCUGGCUUUUCUGGAAGUACCCCCAGGAGCAAGACAGGAACUACUGGCUCCUGCAAACCUGAGGCUGCUCAUCUGACCACUGGGCACCUUAGUGCCAACCUGAACCAAAGAGACCUCCUUGUUUCAGCUGGGCCUGCUGUCCAGCUUCCCAGGUGCAGUGGGUUGUGGGAACAAGAGAUGACUUUGAGGAUAAAGG
rnacentral:sRNA from 1 species